UACGGAGGGGGCUAGCGUUGUUCGGAAUUACUGGGCGUAAAGCGCGCGUAGGCGGACCUGCAAGUCGGGGGGUGAAAGCCCGAGGCUCAACCUCGGAACUGCCUUCGAUACUGCGGGUCUCGAGUCCGGGAGAGGUGAGUGGAAUUCCUAGUGUAGAGGUGAAAUUCGUAGAUAUUAGGAAGAACACCAGUGGCGAAGGCGGCUCACUGGCCCGGUACUGACGCUGAGGCGCGAAAGCGUGGGGAGCAAACAGGG
rnacentral:rRNA from 1 species